GGGGCUAUACAAAGGAGACAGGAUAUUAUUCCUUGCUUUCAAAAGCCCCUCUGCUGUCAGGAGAGAGGGUCAGGGUGGUGGUCCAGCACGGGGGGGGGAGGACACGCGCUCUCCCUCACAGCUGUUGCCUGGCUCUGACUACUGAAAAAAACACAAG